rnacentral:tRNA from 1 species
CGAAUCAAAGGUUCUGAAUCGCAAUUUCCAAGCUGCUCACAAUACCUCCAAUGAGAUCACCUCUUGCAAACUCAAAAACGGC